CGGGAUCGAACCGCCGACCCUCUGCUUGUAAGGCAGAUGCUCUCCCAGCUGAGCUAAUCACCCCUUCACUCUCGAA
rnacentral:tRNA from 1 species